rnacentral:rRNA from 1 species
AUUGAACGCUGGCGGCAUGCCUUACACAUGCAAGUCGAACGGUAACAGGUCUUCGGAUGCUGACGAGUGGCGAGCGGGUGAGUAAUACAUCGGAACGUGCCCGAUCGUGGGGGAUAACGGAGCGAAAGCUUUGCUAAUACCGCAUACGAUCUACGGAUGAAAGCCGGGGACCGCAAGGCCUUGCGCGGACGGAGCGGCCGAUGGCAGAUUAGGUAGUUGGUGGGAUAAAAGCUUACCAAGCCGACGAUCUGUAGCUGGUCUGAGAGGACGACCAGCCACACUGGGACUGAGACACGGCCCAGACUCCUACGGGAGGCAGCAGUGGGGAAUUUUGGACAAUGGGCGAAAGCCUGAUCCAGCCAUGCCGCGUGCAGGAUGAAGGCCUUCGGGUUGUAAACUGCUUUUGUACGGAACGAAAAGACUCUUUCUAAUAAAGAGGGUCCAUGACGGUACCGUAAGAAUAAGCACCGGCUAACUACGUG